rnacentral:sRNA from 1 species
GGAAGUAAAAGUCGUAACAAGGUUUCCGUAGGUGAACCUGCGGAAGGAUCAUUACAGUAUUCUUUUGCCAGCGCUUAACUGCGCGGCGAAAAACCUUACACACAGUGUCUUUUUGAUACAGAACUCUUGCUUUGGUUUGGCCUAGAGAUAGGUUGGGCCAGAGGUUUAACAAAACACAAUUUAAUUAUUUUUACAGUUAGUCAAAUUUUGAAUUAAUCUUCAAAACUUUCAACAACGGAUCUCUUGGUUCUCGCAUCGAUGAAGAACGCAGCGAAAUGCGAUAAGUAAUAUGAAUUGCAGAUUUUCGUGAAUCAUCGAAUCUUUGAACGCACAUUGCGCCCUCUGGUAUUCCAGAGGGCAUGCCUGUUUGAGCGUCAUUUCUCUCUCAAACCCCCGGGUUUGGUAUUGAGUGAUACUCUUAGUCGGACUAGGCGUUUGCUUGAAAAGUAUUGGCAUGGGUAGUACUAGAUAGUGCUGUCGACCUCUCAAUGUAUUAGGUUUAUCCAACUCGUUGAAUGGUGUGGCGGGAUAUUUCUGGUAUUGUUGGCCCGGCCUUACAACAACCAAACAAGUUUGACCUCAAAUCAGGUAGGAAUACCCGCUGAACUUAAGCAUAUCAAUAAGCGGAGGA